rnacentral:rRNA from 1 species
AUUGAACGCUGGCGGCGUGCUUAACACAUGCAAGUCGAUCGGUAACGCGGGGGCAACCCUGGCGACAAGAGGCGGACGGGUGAGGAACGCUUGGGAAUCUGCCUAUCAGCGGGGGACAACACGGGGAAACUCGUGCUAAUACCGCAUACGCUCUACGGAGGAAAGCCGGGGACCGCAAGGCCUGGCACUGAUAGAUGAGCCCAAGCCGGAUUAGCUAGUUGGCGGGGUAACGGCCCACCAAGGCGACGAUCCGUAGCUGGUCUGAGAGGACGACCAGCCACACUGGAACUGAGACACGGUCCAGACUCAUACGGGAGGCAGCAGUGGGGAAUAUUGGACAAUGGGGGAAACCCUGAUCCAGCGACGGCGCGUGGGUGAAGAAGGCCUGCGGGUUGUAAAGCCCUUUCGGUAGGGACGAAAGCUCUCGACCUAACACGUCGGGAGGUUGACUUAACCUACAGAAGAAGCACCGGCUAACUCUGUGCCAGCCGCCGCCGUAAUAC